AUGCACGCUGGCGGCGUGCCUAAUACAUGCCAGUCGAGCGAACGGACGAGAAGCUUGCUUCUCUGAUGUUAGCGGCGGACGGGUGAGUAACACGUGGAUAACCUACCUAUAAGACUGGGAUAACUUCGGGAAACCGGAGCUAAUACCGGAUGAUAUUUUGAACCGCAUGGUUCAAAAGUGAAAGACGGCCUUGCUGUCACUUAUAGAUGGAUCCGCGCUGCAUUAGCUAGUUGGUAAGGUAACGGCUUACCAAGGCAACGAUGCAUAGCCGACCUGAGAGGGUGAUCGGCCACACUGGAACUGAGACACGGUCCAGACUCCUACGGGAGGCAGCAGUAGGGAAUCUUCCGCAAUGGGCGAAAGCCUGACGGAGCAACGCCGCGUGAGUGAUGAAGGUCUUCGGAUCGUAAAACUCUGUUAUUAGGGAAGAACAUAUGUGUAAGUAACUGUGCACAUCUUGACGGUACCUAAUCAGAAAGCCACGGCUAACUACGUG
rnacentral:rRNA from 1 species